GAGGGUUUAAGCCCUGGAUUGUCAACCCCCUGUCCUCUCCUACAGAACAAUAGAGACCUAUAGGGACAGAUAGAGGCCUCAGCUCACACUGAAACAUGUCUCAGAAGGUAAAUCAUCCUGCUCACACUGGAGCAGGCUGGUUGGACUCUGGCAGGGUUUGGCAAUGGGACUGAACACGUGAUUUAUCAGGGGCAGUGAAUAUGUAUAUGCACCCUUGUGUGUGUGUGUGUGUGUGUGUGUGUGUGUGUGUGUGUGUGUGUGUGUGUGUGUGUGUGUGUGUGUGUGUGUGUGUGUGUGUGUGUGUGUGUGUGUGUGUGUGAGAGAGAGUCUAGAGACAGAUAUUGAAGUAUGAGCCAUUGGGCUUUCAUGAAACAUGCAAGGACCUGAGCAGUGUGUCUGUGAUUGAUUCCUAAUGGGAAAGGCGGAUGACUGAGAGAUACACAGGUCUGUUUGUAUUGGAGGACCAGAGAGGAUCAGAUACAGGAAAAGGAAGAGAUACACAGGUCUGUUUGUAUUGGAGGACCAGAGAGGAUCAGAUACAGGAAAAGGAAGAGAUACACAGGUCUGUUUGUAUUGGAGGACCAGAGAGGAUCAGAUACAGGAAAAGGAAGAGAUACACAGGUCUGUUUGUGUUGGAGGACCAGAGAGGAUCAGAUACAGGAAAAGGAAGAGAUACACAGGUCUGUUUGUGUUGGAGGAUCAGAGAGGAUCAGAUACAGGAAAAGGAAGAGAUACGCAGAGUAUUUUUGUCUCUCUCUCUCGUCUGACUAAUUUACCCGGUGUCCUUUCAGCCUGUCACUCCCCCUGCGACGUCACAUUUAGUGGCACAUCAGAAAGCCGGGAGGAGAGAGAGGAGAGGAAGUAGCGAG
rnacentral:lncRNA from 1 species